CUCCAUCAAACAUAGUCACUGAAAGUGUAGACUCUGAAAACAGCCUGGCUGAGUUCUGAUCCUAACCCUCAACUUAGAAGUGGUGUGAUCUUGGGGUCUUUGAUUUCUCAGUGUCUGACACCGGAUUCGGCAGGCAGGUGCCCCUCUGGCAACGUGCGUGGGACAAGUGAACGACAUUCCCGUG
rnacentral:lncRNA from 1 species